CAACAUCAAUAUGAUCAUUUUCUAAGAAAAAUUAAGGCAAAAUCUUCCAAGUAAUAUGGUCAAUUUCAAUAAAAUUACAACUUACCAGAGUAAAUCCAUCUACUAAACAUCCAAAGUUCACAACAUAAUAUUUGAAUAUCACCAAUAACAUCCUCAAUCCGAUGAGUUGAGCAUUGGAGGGUUUAUGUUAGAAAAAUGUCUGACAUCCCCUGACUAGUUGUUAUGAACGCAAGCAUCCUUGGAGAAAGAGCUUGAGGUCCCAAGAGCCUAUUCGAUAAGAAAGAUAGAAGUACAAACCGACUCCCCAACAACUACUAAUUUAAGUGUUGGCGUGGUUGUCUGGUCGCUUCACAGCUCGACGAGAAUUCAACAUCAACAAAUAUUUUAGAACCUAGUGUAUCUUCAAUCAUUUUGGAUUAAAUUGUAUGACACUUUUUUCUUUUCUUCUCUUUUUUUGUGAAAACAAAAUUUAAUACACUUAUUUUAAAAGAAAUUUGUUAAUGAAAAACAAAAUAAUGACAAUGAAGAGCACUCAUUUAUAAAAAUAAGCUACAAAUAGAAAAACAAAAUUCAUAUAAGUAGAAUCUCCCAAAAAAUAAAAGCAUUAUCGAAUUGAGUUACAAACUAAUAAUAAUUUCAUCAAAGUUUGUAAACCAAAGAUUGUCCUAAUAUAAAAAAGUUUCCAAUAAAACACUUAUGCCAGAUAAUUUAUAGAACCUAGUAAUAUCCAAUUGAAUUCUCCCCUGCAAAUAAUUAAAAUUUUCAAGUUAGUCAAUAAGAAAAAAUAGCCAUCAAUCAUAAUAAGAAGCAACAGCAAAUUACACUAAAAAAAGGCAAAAAAAGCACCAAAACAACAAAUAUAAACAAGAAACAACAAAUAAAAAAAAACCCAAAAAUGGCAUAAAAAGAUGCUCAAAGCAGCAAUAAAUUUAUAAAAAAUACCCUAAAAUAGCAGUGAAAAGUGCUUUAAAAAGCAUUAAAAAAAUCCAAAAACAAUAGUAAACAUGCCUAGAAACAGUAGAAAAAAAACCCCCUAAAAUAGCAAGAAAACUGCCUAAAACUAGAAAAAAGAUCUAGUAGCAAAAUCUUCCAUUGCCAGAUAAAGCUAUGAAAGAAAAGAAAUAAAAUUCAUAAAGAGUCAAAGCUAACAUACUGACCACUUGCUAGAAAUUAAGUUAUAAAUCCCAAAUUUUUACACAAAUUAGUAUCUGAAACAAGAUUGGUUUGAUAUAUGAUAGUAAAGUAAAAUACCUAUAAAGUAGUACAAAUUUAGCAAACCUAAUGGCUUCACUCCACUCAUUUUCUUAAGACUCCAGUGAUGAGAAGCUGCCAACAGAAUGAUAAAUUGAGGUUUGACAGGAAGCACACAAACUAAACAAGAUACAUAACAACUUUGUUAUCCAUGUUACACCCUAGAACCAUUUCUAGGAAUAUUUGUUAGAAUAGCCACCAUAACAGUUGAUGAGCAACAUAAAACAGAGACAACAACAAAACCAGCAACCUGCAAAGUGCCAAUUCUUCCAUAAUUAAAUCAGAUACACAAUAGAAAUAAUUUACUAUUAAAAUCCCAAAUUCAUUUUAUCUUCCUGCAUUUUCUCAUCAAUCAAACAUAAAAGAGAGCUUCUAUCGACACAUGCAAACAGCACCCACCAUCUUGUCACAUUCAAACACAACCCAAGAUCACAAAAGUUAAUUUUCCAGAUUUAGUUAGCCAAAGAAAAUAUACCAUCAAUUGGAUCACCUUAUAAAUCAAAUACAAUUCCACGAUAUUACCAACCUCCCAAAAAAAAAAAGGCACAAACUUUAAAAUGAAAACAACAAGACCAUGAAAAAUAAGCAAAAGUGGGUAUUUAAAUAAAACAUGAUAGAAUGCAACAAAAGCAAAAAAAGCUUUCGAUAGAAGCCAGAGCCAGAUGGGGUACAAGCAAGCUAGGAGGUACCAAUUAAAGAUGCUUCAUUCAAGAACAGAAAAGCUACCAGAAUGAUAAAAGUAGAAAAAAUGAAACAAUAAACAGAAAAUUGGGUGAAAGCCGCAACAAUAGUUUCAAUCACUUAACAGUACCAGCAAACUUAUAGUAAACUUUAAGAACUAGAUGUUUAAGCCACAGAUAACAGGGAUGUACCCAUGAGGAUAAAGACACAAGCGUGAGACCAGCAAAGCCGCCCAUCCUUAACUUGUGCAGCAGACAAAGUCGAAUGAAAAAGGAGGCAAUGACGGUAGCGACAGAAACAGUUGGAUCGGAAGCGAACAGCUCAAGAUGAAAGCAACAAGUUAAUGGAUUGGAUUGUGUGCGCGAGAUGUGGCUUCGAUUUUAAUUGAUUAGUCAAGAAAUCGAAGAGAGAAAUUAGAGAGAAAUUUGUGAUUUCUGAGAGAGAGGCAAGAAAUUGAGAAAGAUUGGGCACGGUUGAAACACCUAAAUUAUAAAAAUAUAAAUUUUGCAGCCUUUGGGAACUGGUUGCUU
rnacentral:lncRNA from 1 species